rnacentral:ncRNA from 2 species
UACGUAGGGUGCAAGCGUUGUCCGGAUUUAUUGGGUUUAAAGGGUGCGUAGGCGGGCUAUUAAGUCAGUGGUGAAAUCCAACAGCUCAACUGUUGAUGUGCCAUUGAUACUGGUAGCCUUGAGUACAGAUGAGGUAGGCGGAAUUGACAGUGUAGCGGUGAAAUGCAUAGAUAUUGUCAAGAACUCCGAUAGCGAAGGCAGCUUACUGGGCUGUAACUGACGCUGAUGCACGAAAGUGUGGGGAUCAAACAGG